AUUGAACGCUGGCGGUAUGCUUAACACAUGCAAGUCGUACGAGAACCCCGGUGCUUGCAUUGGGGGGAGAGUGGCGAACGGGUGAGUAACACGUGGAUAAUCUGCCUCCGGGAUUGGGAUAACUGCUCGAAAGGGCGGCUAAUACCGAAUAAGAUGGUGGUCACACAGGUGGCAGCCAUUAAAGGUGGGGACCGCAAGGCCUACUGCCUGGAGAUGAGUCCGCGGCCCAUUAGCUAGUUGGUAGGGUAACGGCCUACCAAGGCUACGAUGGGUAGCCGGCCUGAGAGGGUGAACGGCCACAUUGGGACUGAGAUACGGCCCAGACUCCUACGGGUGGCUG
rnacentral:rRNA from 1 species